ensembl:snRNA U6 U6 spliceosomal RNA
UGAUGUUCGCUUCCACAGCACAUGAUUGGAACAACAUGGAGAAGAAUGUCAUGGCCCCAGCACAAGGAUGACACACAAAUUCAUGAAGUGUUCCAUGUUAAA